CCUGAGAGAUCAGGAGAAGAAAGUCUCCUUGUCUUUUCAAAUGGUGCUCUUACUCUCUGUUCAACCAUCUUGCUCACACCUGGUUAGUGAGAACCCUUAGUGAUGGUGACAGUGAUGAUGAUGGCUAACAUUUAUUAAGCACACUUCACCAGCAUCUUCUCACUUAAUAUUCACAAGAACCCUGGGAGGUAGACACUGUCAUCGCAUCCAUUUUCAGAUGAUGAAACUGAGGAACGGAGACAUUAAGUGCCAAGUUCAUGCAACUAGACAUGGCGGGUGUCAUAUAUUGAUUUAUUUAACAAACAU
rnacentral:lncRNA from 1 species